rnacentral:rRNA from 1 species
GUGGGGAAUAUUGGACAAUGGGCGAAAGCCUGAUCCAGCAAUGCCGCGUGAGUGAUGAAGGCCUUAGGGUUGUAAAGCUCUUUUACCCGGGAUGAUAAUGACAGUACCGGGAGAAUAAGCCCCGGCUAACUCCGUGCCAGCAGCCGCGGUAAUACGGAGGGGGCUAGCGUUGUUCGGAAUUACUGGGCGUAAAGCGCACGUAGGCGGCUUUGUAAGUUAGAGGUGAAAGCCCGGGGCUCAACUCCGGAAUUGCCUUUAAGACUGCAUCGCUAGAAUUGUGGAGAGGUAAGUGGAAUUCCGAGUGUAGAGGUGAAAUUCGUAGAUAUUCGGAAGAACACCAGUGGCGAAGGCGACUUACUGGACACAUAUUGACGCUGAGGUGCGAAAGCGUGGGGAGCAAACAGGAUUAGAAACCCCAGUAGUCC